UACGAAGGGGGCAAGCGUUGUUCGGAUUUACUGGGCGUACAGGGCUCGUAGGCGGUUGGAUAAGCCCUCCGUGAAAUCUCCAGGCUUAACCUGGAAAGUGCAGAGGGGACUGUUCAGCUAGAGGAUGGGAGAGGAGCGCGGAAUUCCCGGUGUAGCGGUGAAAUGCGUAGAGAUCGGGAGGAAGGCCGGUGGCGAAAGCGGCGCGCUGGACCACUACUGACGCUGAGGAACGAAAGCUAGGGGAGCAAACGGG
rnacentral:rRNA from 1 species